rnacentral:tRNA from 1 species
UGGUAGAACACCAGCCUUCCAAGCUGGAUACGUGGGUUCGAUUCCCAUCACCCG